rnacentral:rRNA from 1 species
CGGGACGGGUGGGUAAUGUCUGGGAAACGUGCCUGAUGAGGGGGAGUAACUACUGGAAACGGUAGCUAAUACCGCAUAACGUCGCAAGACCAAAGAGGGGGACCUUAGGGCCUCUUGCCAUCGGAUGUGCCCAGAUGGGAUUAGCUAGUAGGUGGGGUAACGGCUCACCUAGGCGACGAUCCCUAGCUGGUCUGAGAGGAUGACCAGCCACACUGGAACUGAGACACGGUCCAG